rnacentral:rRNA from 1 species
UACGAAGGGGGCUAGCGUUGCUCGGAAUCACUGGGCGUAAAGCGCACGUAGGCGGAUUUUUAAGUCAGGGGGGAAAUCCUGGAGCUCAACUCCAGAACUGCCUUUGAUACUGGGAAUCUCGAGUCCGGGAGAGGUGAGUGGAACUGCGAGUGUAGAGGUGAAAUUCGUAGAUAUUCGCAAGAACACCAGUGGCGAAGGCGGCUCACUGGCCCGGUACUGACGCUGAGGUGCGAAAGCGUGGGGAGCAGACAGG